rnacentral:lncRNA from 1 species
UCCUUCUUUCUCCCCUCAUCCAUGUUCAUUAGCCCCAUUGACAAUGAAAUAAUAGGAGCAAGCAUAUCAUAAACUAAUUUCUAUAUAAAUUCAAUAGAUAAAAAUUAGUUAUAUAAAAAUAAAUUUAUAAAGUUAAUUUAAUUUAGAAAACUAUAAACUAAUUUUAAUUAUUUAUUAUAAAAAGUAAUAGAAUAAAAAAUUGCCUUAUUGAAUGAAUUGGAAUGCUAACCCGAUAUAAAACAAAAAUGAAAAAAUAGAUUAUGCAUUCAUUGCAUAAAGCAAUUUCUCAUAAUCAUACAAUCAUGAAUGAUAUAAAUGUAUAUGAUAAAUUUAUUUAUUUUAAUAAUGAUUAUCUACAUUAAAAAGCAACGUAAAAGUUUUUACAAUAAAAGUAUAUACUACACAACCACUGAACUCUUUUGAAAAGUUAUUAUCUUUAGUUUUCACGAAAACAUUAAGAUUAUUUUCUAAAAUUUUAUUUUAAAAAAAUACUAGUAUGUAAUUAUUAUUGUUAAUUAGAAAUAAACUUUAUCUUUAAGAAACACAAACUAUCGAGUCCAAAAUAGCAGUGUAUCUAGUCGUUGUACCAAUUUUUUUUUAAAAAAAAAUUAAAGAAAAAAUAUCCAAUAUAAGUUAGCGUUUUAAUUCUUGAAUAAUUAACGCAUUUCCAUCACACUUCCUUGUCGGCUAUAAGCUUUUCAAAGUUAAUAAUGUAUUUCGUGACCGUUUCUUUAUAGUUAAGAAAAAAUAAUUUGAAAAAAAAUAUUUUAAAUUUUUAUAUAUUUGAAAUAUACAUUUGAUCUUGAGUAUAAAUUUUAAUUUUAAAAUAUAAAGCAUUUAAGAAAUUGAUUAUUAAUAUAAAACAAAUAAACCUUUUUUUGGUGAAAGAUUGGAAAAAAAAAAACCCAUAAACGAUCAUUAAAAGUCACGUGAAAAUGCGGUAGAAAUUUUAUAAGCCAACAUAAGAUUUGAAAUAAAAUGAGGAACAAACUCAAAGAUUCUUAAUUGUCUAUCUAAGGAUAAACCAAAGUUUACAAGAUCAUCCGCAACUUGAUUCCCUUAUUGCAGCAGAACAUGAUUCCACAAUAAAGUACCACCCUUUAUGGAAUACUACUAACAAAAAACCUUUCAUUCAACAUUACAGGGUUUUAUCAACAAUUAACAACAAAUUUAAUAUAAAUUUUGAAACUUAUUUUUCUAAUAAUCAUGCAAGUGAUGCAACUUCCUACAUUGAUCAGAGGGAGAAAUAUAUAAAACAUUUCCAAAAAGUUAAUACAAAAGUUAUUAGUUACAUCUUUUUCUAAUAAUCAUGCAAGUGAUGCAAUUUUGACCCCAUGUGUAGUACAAGUUUGGCACAUGCUAUCAUUUAUUAUGGGAGCGUAGGCAUCUUCACCUACACGGAACGCAUGCUCUGAGAUCUAGUUCGCAACCACGCGGCCAACGAAAUCCAGUCCUCAGAUCCCUCCUCCGCCGCCUGUAAAAUGGAGCUCAAGAAGCAUGAUCAAAGCAUCACUACUAUAAUCAAAUUGCACAAAAGGACUCAAACCUUCUUUUAUUUUUCCUCCCGUGUGACUUGUGCCAACUACUCAGAUGGUCCCUUUAUUUUAUUAUGGAGGAAUGAAUUAAAAGCUUUUUGGGCUACUUAAAUUAACCUAUUUGGAUAUGAUAAUUUGAUUAUUGCAUUUCAGGGUAAUAAAAAAUGAUAAAAGAAAGUGUCAAGAAUAAAAAUGAAUGCCAUUGGUAGUCGGUGAAGAACACAGCCAAGCUAAUAAUCCAAGUUCAAUCAACCAACCAAUCUGUUAAACAUGCUAAAAUUAUGUAUUUAAUUAUAAUUUCUUGUUAGGAAAUAUAAGCACUAUUUUUCUCCUUAGACUCAAAAUAGGCAUUUAGCAGAAACAAAAAAAUAAAAAUAAAGAGUAGAAGAAUGAUACUAGAAUUCUUUAAGUUAAAAAUCCUUUCAAUGUAAAAGAUAAAAAUCACGUGAUCAAAUCACUAAAUAUUUCCACUAUUAAAAAGAGACUAUCUCUUAAUCUCACCCAACAAGAAUGAUUUAUAAUUCAUGUGAACUCUCACCAAGUAUAAUGAAAACUAUAACUCUAUUUCUCUCAAAGAAAAAUACUAAAACUUUCUUUCUUAUUUUGUUUCUCUUUCAAGGGAUGAAAUGAGAUAUUUUAAUUUUUCAUAACUCUAAUAUUUAAUUUUUUUUUAAGGAGAAUGCGUAAGUCUAAGAUCAAAGGAAUUAAUUUCAGAUCAUUGAAGAGACUUCACACUUUUCUAUAUAUGUCUUAGAAUGUGUGUUCUUCAAUAUUUAAAUUUAUAUGUUUACAUGAAUGUAAAUUAAUUUUAAUUAUGAAGGAAUUUCUAAUAUUUUCUAAUAAUAAAAAACAAGAAUUUUACCCUCUCCUUUUUGGUAAGAUUUUUCACUUCUAAUCAUAAUUUUUUUUAUCAAUUGAAAUCUGAUACAAGAUUCUUGUAUAAACAAUCACUAUCAUCACUGCAAUAAAAAAAAAAUAUUGAAAAAAUAACAUCCGCGUGACAAAAUAGUAAAGCGUGGGUCUCCGGACGAAGCUGCUUCCCAAUUUCCGCAACCUUUUACAUCGACAUUUAUUCUACAUCUAACAAACCCUUCAGAACCUUCUUCACUCUUUCUCUCUCUCUCUCUUUUCUUUCUAUAAAUCUAGCCACCACAACCCUUUUCAUUCUUCAUUCAUUAACUCUUUUUUGUUAUUAUUCAUCUUUUCUCUAACUCACCCAUGGCUCAAGAGAACAACGAUCCGCCCAGGGACGAGAAUUUUCGCAACGAGAAUUUUCGCGACGAGAAUUUUCGAGACGAGUCGAGACAGUCGUUGUCGUUUCGGUCGCCCAUGAGUCGCAUGUUGUCGUUCACGAGGAUGCUCGGCAGGGAACGUAAGGGGAACGUUUCACUGUCGUCAUGCGGGAGUGAUUGUAGCUGCGCCGCGGAGCAAGGUGAGCCAGAGGAGACUCAGUGAGUCCGUGACUCGGGUUUUGGCACGAACAUAAAUUAGAUGUACUUAUUCGUUGAUUUUUUUUUUCUUUUUCCUUAUUUGUUGUUUAUCUUCGGGUUCCAAUAAUAGUUAUAUUAUAGAAUACGAAAAUUGCCAAUUGGUUGGUCAUUGUAAUGCUUCAGUACAUAGAAAUAGAAGUGAAAACAAUUGUAAAGAAUAUCUGAUUUCCUAGUAACGGUGAUUUGUUUUUCUUUUCUCUUAAGGGGGUGUAUUGAAUUGGAAUUUUGAAAGAAUAUUUUGACAAAAACAAUCUUGAAGAUUUUAAAAGAUUAUGCGGGAUUGUAUUGAUUUUGUGGGAUUUUAAAAGAUUUUUUUUAAAAGACUUUUUACAAUCAGGAUUCUUAACCCAAGAUUUUAAUGGAUUUCUAAUACAGAUUUUUAAGAUUUCAAAGUACUUUAUGGAUUUUUAAGAUUUUGAAAGAUUAAUACAUUUUAAACAAAAAAAU